rnacentral:lncRNA from 1 species
CUUGGUCAAUAAAGAGACUAUUUUGGCUAUAACAGAAAAACAAGGGUAUUUAACACUUAUGUAUACAAGAAUAAAACUACAAAAGUAUGCUCUCAAGUCAUAUGCUUACAAGUAUGCUUAAAUGUCAUUCAUAUGCUUACAAGUAUGCUCAAGUCAUAUGAUUACAAGUAUGCUCAAGUCAUAUGCUUACAAGUAUGCUUAAGUUAUAUGCUUAGAAGUAUUCUUAAAUGUUAAUCAUAUGCAUGCUUACAAGUAUGCUCAAGUCAUAUGGUUACAAGUAUGCUCAAGUCAUAUGUUAACAUUUAUAAUGUUGUCUGUAGUAGGUACCGUGGAAUCAUGGACCUCUAUUCAGACCGUAGUUGGAUGGCACGACGAAAGUCAAGUGCCCAGAUAGGUGCUACAGCUGAAUUUAGAGCUGGUUGCCAAGUGUUUUUGGAGUAUGCGUAUAGUCACCCGGAAUGUAUGAAUGGUAAGUCGCAGAUACGAUGUCCAUGUUUGAAGUGUAAGAAUGUAAA